rnacentral:rRNA from 1 species
CCUACGGGAGGCUGCAGUGAGGAAUAUUGCUCAAUGGCCGUAAGGCUGAACCAGCCAAGUCGCGUGAAGGAAGAAGGAUCUAUGGUUUGUAAACUUCUUUUAUAGAGGAAUAAAGGUAUCCACGUGUGGAUAUUUGCAUGUACCCUAUGAAUAAGCAUCGGCUAACUCCGUGCCAUCAGCCGAGGUAAUACGGAGGAUGCGAGCGUUAUCCGGAUUUAUUGGGUUUAGAGUGUGCGUAGGUUGUUGUUUAAGUCAGCGGUGAAAGUCUGUGGCUCAACCAUAGAAGUGCCGUUGAAACUGGAAGACUUGAGUGUGUUUGAGGUAGGCGGAAUGCGUGGUGUAGCGGUGAAAUGCAUAGAUAUCACGAAGAACUCCGAUUGCGAAGGCAGCCGACUAAACUGCCACUGACGUUGAUGCUCGAAAGUGUGGGUAGCAAACAGGAUUAGAUACCCGGGUAGUC